rnacentral:rRNA from 1 species
UACGUAGGGGGCAAGCGUUGUCCGGAAUCAUUGGGCGUAAAGCGCGUGUAGGCGGCCCGAUAAGUCCGCUGUGAAAGUCCAGGGCUCAACCCUGGAAUGCCGGUGGAUACUGUCGGGCUCGAGUCCGGAAGAGGCGAGUGGAAUUCCGUGGUGUAGCGGUGAAAUGCGCAGAUAUCAGGAGGAACACCGAUGGCGAAGGCAGCUCGCUGGGACGGUACUGACGCUGAGGCGCGAAAGCGUGGGGAGCGAACAGG